rnacentral:rRNA from 1 species
GAUGAACGCUGGCGGCGUGCCUAAUACACGCAAGUCGAGCGAACGGACGAGAAGCUUGCUUCUCUGAUGUUAGCGGCGGACGGGUGAGUAACACGUGGAUAACCUACCUAUAAGACUGGGAUAACUUCGGGAAACCGGAGCUAAUACCGGAUAAUAUUUUGAACCGCAUGGUUCAAAAGUGAAAGACGGUCUUGCUGUCACUUAUAGAUGGAUCCGCGCUGCAUUAGCUAGUUGGUAAGGUAACGGCUUACCAAGGCAACGAUGCAUAGCCGACCUGAGAGGGUGAUCGGCCACACUGGAACUGAGACACGGUCCAGACUCCUACGGGAGGCAGCAGUAGGGAAUCUUCCGCAAUGGGCGAAAGCCUGACGGAGCAACGCCGCGUGAGUGAUGAAGGUCUUCGGACCGUAAAACUCUGUUAUUAGGGAAGAACAUAUGUGUAAGUAACUGUGCACAUCUUGACGGUACCUAAUCAGAAAGCCACGGCUAACUACGUG